ACUCCUACGGGAGGCAGCAAUCAGGAAUAGUCGGCAAUGGGCGCAAGCCUGACCGCGCGACACCGCGUGAGGGAUGAAGUUCGAAAGAGCGUAAACCUCUGUGGUAGGGAAAGAAACAAAUGACGGUACCCUACUAGAAAGUAGCCGCUAACUGCGUGCCAGAAGCGUCGGUAACACGUGGGCUACAAGCAUUAUCCGGUCUUAUUGGGCGUAAAGGGUCGCGUAGGUGGUUUGUAAAGUUAUCUUCUAAAUCUCCAUGCUCAACAUGGAUUAAGGAGAUAAUACUCACAAACUAGAAUUUUCUUUAGGGCGACUGGAACUGAGGGAGGAGUAGUGAAAUGCGUUGAUACCCUCGGGAACACUAGUGGCGAAGGCGAAUCGCUGGAAGAAAAUUGACACUGAGGCACGAAAGCUAGGGGAGCGAAGCAGAUUAGAGACCUGCGUAGUCCUAGCCCUAAACUAAUGCUUGCUAGCUGCAUUUUUUUCAAUUAAUUUUGAAUCAGGUGUGGCGAAGGAAACCCGUUAAGCAAGCCGCCUGGGGAGUACGGCCGCAAGGCUAAAACUCAAAGAAUUGACG
rnacentral:rRNA from 1 species